CGAGAGUAGCGCAUUUAGUAUACCGGACCCUUCACUUUCUCUUUCUAAAAGUGGUCGCGCCACGCUGCCAAAAUCGCCAUUACUAAUGUCAAUGCUUCAAAAUACCCAGAAAUUUAUCCUCUUUUGCUUCUUUCAAUGCCAACAUGUUUCCCAGAUUUUUAAAUCUUGCCGAGUUAUCAACUAGUGGAGGUGGUAAUUCACAUAGCUGCAAUUCUAUGGCCAUGGACAUUAACUGAAAGCAUCUGGUGACUCUGGUCACUGGCAUAUAGCUACAGGAGGAGCUCGCAGCUGAAUAUUCUUUCAUGAGGGGGGUGCAAAUGUUCUGCCCUUGCUGAAAUCUGAACUACCAUUUGGACUGUAGGUUGUUGCCCAACAGCUAAGUAUGGUAUUGCUAAGAGAUCUCAUCAAGAAAAACAACCUGACUGGAAUUAGCUGUAAGAACCAGAAUUUGUUGCCAACAUGCGAAUAUUUAUAACCGUUUAUACUUGAGAUUCAGGCUUCUCUAUUGGGUAAUGUUGCAGAAAUAAUUAGAAAAGAAUGAUUGAUUGCUACGAGAAGCGAGAGUUAGCAGCCAACCAAGCGGGCAUCAACCAACUCAUAUUUGGGUGUUGAAGAAUAAGGAUGACAUAACCUAAAGGUUCAAUUGCAGAUCUCUCUUACACAACUAUCAGGAAACAGACCUUCCUUUCUUGGCAAGAAUUUCGGAUAAUGAACGAGUGACUUUACAGUUUACAGUCCUUAAAAAUUCGGUUGUCAACCCUUCAAAAUGUACCAUAAUGCUGCAGUCUUAUGUUGUACCCAUGUAUACUUGUACGAAGUAUUAGGUGUAACCAUGAGUUUUUUUUUUUUUUUUUUUUUUUUUUUUCUCAUUUGGAAAUCAUUUCAUAUUCUCCGAAAAAACUAAAUAAACUUUUGGGUACACCUAGCUUUAAGUGUACCCGAUUAUAAGA